UACGUAGGCAGCGAGCGUUGUUCGGAAUUACUGGGCGUAAAGAGUGUGUAGGCGGUGCUCCCAGUCUGUUGUGAAAUCUCCCGGCUUAACUGGGAGGGUGCAGCGGAAACUAGAGUGCUAGGAGGGUGGGAGAGGUAAGCGGAAUUCUGGUGUAGCGGUGAAAUGCGUAGAGAUCCGGAAGAACACCGGUGGCGAAGGCGGCCUGCUGGGCAGUGGCUGACGCUGAGGCGCGACAGCGUGGGGGAGCAAACGAGG
rnacentral:rRNA from 1 species